rnacentral:lncRNA from 1 species
AGACACCCAUGUCAUUGAACAAGAGGUUCUAAUAUUACAUAACAUAGAAGCAACAAUCGCAGACAAAGAGUACAACUUGUUUUUGAAAGCUGCCAGGGAACAGGAACUCCCAUUGUGGAAUUCACAGAAGUGAGAAAUAAAUAUUUUGCAUCUCCUGCUGUUCCCAAUCUACUCAUCCUAGGAACCAACUUAGGUAUGUUUAUGAGUUUAUGGGGGUAGUUUAUCAUACAGUACUUGUAAUAU